rnacentral:rRNA from 1 species
CCUACGGGUGGCAGCAGUGGGGGAUAUUGCACAAUGGGGGGAACCCUGAUGCAGCGACGCCGCGUGGGUGAAGAAGCGCCUCGGCGCGUAAAGCCCUGUCAGCAGGGAAGAAAAUGACGGUACCUGAAGAAGAAGCCCCGGCUAACUACGUGCCAGCAGCCGCGGUAAUACGUAGGGGGCAAGCGUUAUCCGGAUUUACUGGGUGUAAAGGGGGCGCAGACGGCGAUGCAAGCCAGGAGUGAAAGCCCGGGGCCCAACCCCGGGACUGUUCGUGGAACUGCGUGGCUGGAGUGCAGGAGGGGGAGGGGGAAGUCGUGGUGUAGGGGUGAAAUGCGUAGAUAGCAGGGGGAACACGGGGGGCGAGGGCGGCCUGCUGGACUGCAACUGACGUUGAGGCCCGAAAGCGUGGGGAGCAAACAGGAUUAGAUACCCAAGUAGUC